UUAUCUCCAAUAUUUUAUGAUUGCCAAUAA
rnacentral:piRNA from 1 species